AAACUCAAGAGCAGUGUCUGUAGG
rnacentral:piRNA from 1 species